rnacentral:rRNA from 1 species
GCACAGAAGUUAGCCGGUGCUUCCUUUGGAGGGUACCGUCACCUCCCGAGGCUGUUAACCUCAAGUAGCAUUCGUUCCCUCCGACAGGAGUCUUUACGACCCAAAGGCCUUCAUCACACACGCGGCGUUGCUGCGUCAGGCUUUCGCCCAUUGCGCAAUAUUCCCCA